rnacentral:rRNA from 1 species
CCUCCGCAAUGCACGCAAGUGCGACGGGGGAAUCCCAAGUGCCACUCUUAACGGGGUGGCUUUUCAGAAGUGUAAAAAGCUUCUGGAAUAAGGGCUGGGCAAGACCGGUGCCAGCCGCCGCGGUAACACCGGCAGCUCAAGUGGUAGCCGCUUUUAUUGGGCCUAAAGCGUCCGUAGCCGGUCUGAUAAGUCUCUGGUGAAAUCCCACAGCUUAACUGUGGGAAUUGCUGGAGAUACUAUCAUGACUCGAGGUCGGGAGAGGCUGGAGGUACUCCCAGGGUAGGGGUGAAAUCCUGUAAUCCUGGGAGGACCACCUGUGGCGAAGGCGUCCAGCUGGAACGAACCUGACGGUGAGGGACGAAAGCCAGGGGCGCGAACCGGA